CAAUAGCGUGCAAUACAUCCUUCUUCGUAGAAAAUCCAGAAAAAUUGUUUAAUGAUGAAUUUGAAGAUGCUGGUUCGGUAGGACGUUUAACAUUCAACAAUUGUCGUGGUGUGCGAACAGUAUUAACAGCAAUUUUACCAAGAGCACCUUCUAAAGACAACUGAGUUGCCUUAGGGCGCUCUUUGGCAGAAGAAACCAAACGCUGAAGUUGCUGUUGUAAUUUCUGCAUAGGAUUUUCGGAGCGACGACCACGACGGCGAUUAUUGCUA